rnacentral:rRNA from 1 species
GCCUGAUCCAGCAAUGCCGCGUGAGUGAUGAAGGUCUUCGGAUUGUAAAGCUCUUUCGACGGGGAAGAUAAUGACGGUACCCGUAGAAGAAGCCCCGGCUAACUUCGUGCCAGCAGCCGCGGUAAUA